CUAAGAGAGAGGCACGUGAGGUUCUCGGUGGACCGAUCACAGACUCAGGGAGAGACACAGAGAGCAUCCUCAGUCAGCCCUGCCCUCCCCAAGCUUGCACUUCCUGUCCUCCUCUGGGCUGACCGAGCGUUCCCGGACAGGGCUCCUCUGAACAUCUCGAUCAAUAAGAGAAGUGGCCGAAGAGGCAGAUGAGGCCGGGCUGGUGACGAGCCACAAGGCACAGUGCUUAAAUAAUUCCUUAACUUUCACUACGGCCUUUGAGGAGGGUUUUAUCAUCCCCAUUUUAUGGAUGGACAAUAUGAGGCUGAGAGGGCUGCGCUAUCCCCCCAGGGCUCCCUGGGGGAGAGCUGGGGGGGAAAGGGUGGGGAGAGAGCUGCCCUCCUACCGCUUCCCGGACGUCAGGCUCCGUCGUGAGGAGCACUUCCCAUACAGCAGCUCCCUGACCCUGAGGGCUGUGGCAGCCCAGAGGCGGCAGGAACCCGUCCAAGGUCGCACCGCGAAUGGAUGACAGAGGCUGGGCCCACGCCCUCCAACUCGGCCUGAGUAUGUCUCCAGCUCUGAGACGUGGUAACUGAAGGCUCAGAAAGGGAAAGAGACCUUCUCAUAGUCACAAAGCAGUACAACGUGACCAUCUGCUUUCGUGGUGGGGGUGCGGACGCCUGCUGAGCACGGAAACAAAUCAACCCAAAUGCAAACACAGUUAGCAGCAGAAGGGAUUCCGGAAUGUCAGCAUGGGAAGAGCACACGUGCAGGAUCAGACCGCUCUGGAUUCAAAGCCUGGCCCUGCCACUUCCUGGCUAUGUGACCUUGGACAAGAUAUAUGGGCAGACUGCGGUUCAUUGAGUCAGGAGAGGGUGUGAAAGGGCUGGCUCAGGGGCUCCUAACCGGUUUUUGUGCCGUGGCCCCUUUGGCAAUCUGGUGAAACCUUUGGACUCCUCCUCGGAACAUGUUUUUAAUGCAUAAAAUAAAAUAUGUAGUAUU